rnacentral:piRNA from 1 species
UGGGCAGUAGAUCUUCACCGUUGAC